UAAUACGUAGGUGGCAAGCGUUGUCCGGAAUUACUGGGUGUAAAGGGAGCGUAGGCGGGACUGCAAGUCCAGUGUUAAAUCUAUCGGCUCAACCGGUAGCUGCGCUGGAAACUGUGGUUCUUGAGUGAAGUAGAGGCAGGCGGAAUUCCUAGUGUAGCGGUGAAAUGCGUAGAUAUUAGGAGGAACACCAGUGGCGAAGGCGGCCUGCUGGGCUUUUACUGACGCUGAGGCUCGAAAGCGUGGGUAGCAAACAGGAUUAGAUACCCUGGUAGUCCACGCCGUAAACGAUGAUUACUAGGUGUGGGGGGUCUGACCCCUUCCGUGCCGGAGUUACACGAAU
rnacentral:rRNA from 1 species